GAUGAAGAACGCAGCGAAAUGCGAUAAGUAAUGUGAAUUGCAGAAUUCAGUGAAUCAUCGAAUCUUUGAACGCACCUUGCGCCCUUUGGCUAUUCCGAAGGGCAUGCCUGUUUGAGUAUCAUGAACACCUCAACCCUCAUGGUUUGCCAUGAUGGGCUUGGACUUUGGGGGUCUUGCUGGAUUGUAGUCAGCUCCCCUUAAAUGAAUCAGCUUGCCAGUGUUUGGUGGCAUCACAGGUGUGAUAAAUAUCUACGCUUGUGGUUUUACAUCAGAUAACCUUCAGUGAUGGAGGUUCACUGGAGCUCAUAAAGGUGUCUCUCCUCUGUGAGGACAGCUCUUUGAAUGUUUGAUCUCAAAUCGGGCAGGACUACCCGCUGAACUUAAGCAUAUCAAUAAGCGGAGGA
rnacentral:misc_RNA from 1 species